rnacentral:lncRNA from 1 species
CGCUUUUCCGUGAUUUUUUUGGCCCCCCGAGGGCCCUAGGGUUGUUUUCUGACAAGGACCAAUGCGAGUGUGGCCGAAUUCGGCCAAAAACGGCCGAAAACAGUCAACCCGAGGCGACUCGCCGCCGUCAGCGGCGGCGCCGUCGCCGGAGCACGGCGGAGCCGCCGUGCCGGAGUUGCGAUUUGGGCCGAAAGAGGCCCUGGGCCUAAUUUGGAUUUUUUUUGGAACACGUGCAGGUACUGUUAGUGUGUUUCAGUUCCCCGGAAAAAAUUCAGGGAAAAUUAGGGACAGCCUGCAGGCGCACUGUGAAUCGUAUUCGGAUCCCGAAAACAAGUAAGGACCCCUCACCUUAUUUCCUAUCACGGUAUUAAAGUUCAAAAUGAUAAAACGGUAUUUCUUGAAUUAAUACAUGUGUGAAAUUGCUUAAGGUAGCUAAUGGAGCCCGAGUCUAGUGUGAUUGGUGGUUUACUGUUAU